rnacentral:rRNA from 1 species
AACGAACGCUGGCGGCAGGCCUAACACAUGCAAGUCGAGCGCCCUCUUCGGAGGGAGCGGCGGACGGGUUAGUAACGCGUGGGAACGUGCCCUUUGCUACGGAACAACAGUUGGAAACGACUGCUAAUACCGUAUGUGCCCUACGGGGGAAAGAUUUAUCGGCAAAGGAUCGGCCCGCGUUGGAUUAGCUAGUUGGUGAGGUAACGGCUCACCAAGGCAGCGAUCCAUAGCUGGUUUGAGAGGAUGAUCAGCAACACUGGGACUGAGACACGGCCCAG